rnacentral:rRNA from 1 species
UACGUAGGUGGCAAGCGUUAUCCGGAUUUAUUGGGCGUAAAGGGAACGCAGGCGGUCUUUUAAGUCUGAUGUGAAAGCCUUCGGCUUAACCGGGGUAGUGCAUUGGAAACUGGGAGACUUGAGUGCAGAAGAGGAGAGUGGAACUCCAUGUGUAGCGGUGAAAUGCGUGGAUAUAUGGAAGAACACCAGUGGCGAAAGCGGCUCUCUGGUCUGUAACUGACGCUGAGGUUCGAAAGCGUGGGUAGCAAACAGG